GCAUGCGUACUACAGUGGCGCCCAGUUAGAAACCGUUAGAGGAAAUGGCGGACAGUCGGUGGAGAAAUCAGGCGUUUACAUCGCUUUUUGUGCGAUAUAUGGCACCGCCGGAGUCUACGAUGAUCGGCAAUCGUGUUUGGAGAGGCUUGAGAGUCGAGGGGAAAUGCGAUGUUAUUCCACACGCCCGGAAUAGCGACGCUACGAGCGGAGCAAUCUUCGUCGCCCCCCUCCCCCUUACCCGGAAGCCCGUCUGCCAGCAAAAUAAUUUUGACCAAACAUAACGGACGGUCCUUCUAGUUCGGAGAUCAUAUGUUCCUCCAAAAUCCAGCAGAGAUUAUAAGGACAGUCUGGAACAAGGCAAGGCAAAGCCGCUGCUAGAACUCAGCCUCUGAGUACCUGACUACUGCUACAGGCACCAUAGGACCCGACUCACCACAAGGACUCUAAACCAGCACCAAGACAUCCAGCAUGCAGACACAGAAGAGACAUCCCUGUAUCUUACCCAGAGUGUUGACAGCAGUGGAGUCAGAUGUAGAUAGGAAUGGGGAGAGGAUGACAACACCUUCAUUUUUAUACGUGAUGGUUGUAAGAGUAUUGGUCACAAACCACAGGGCACAAACUAAUAAGGCCUUCAUAGCCUUAGUCAUAGCAGAAUAUGUAGCAAAUUGUACUUCAGUUCAAUUGUACAAUACAGCAGUGAAUAUUAUCUUGUAGUGAUGUUGAUAAUGGUGAUACAUAUCACAGGUCAGUUUCCUUGUUUUAUGAUUCUUUGAAUACAUGUAGUUUGCUAAGCCUGCAUGUGGCUGUUGUACAGGAGGAAUCUCAUCUGUAGGGGGACCUAUUUACAGCCUUAAUCAGGGGCGCGCUCCUGUUUAAAGCCUUAUUAUUAGGUGCAUGUCCCUUUUUAACACCUUAUUUAGGGGCG